rnacentral:lncRNA from 1 species
CAACGGCGCCCAGCCCGCCAGAAGAGCGCGAGGCGAGCAGACGGCAGGGAGCCGGUCGGGGAAGGAGCGGAGCCCGCAGCAGCGCCGGAGGUAGGCGCUCUCGAGGGCAGGGCAGCCGCAGCAGCGAGCCUGUGGGCGUAGUGCGGCUCUGGCGGCGGGAGUGGCGGCCUCGAGGAGUGGGACGAAGGCGGCGUGGAGCUAGGGGUCCCGGCCUCGCCGCGCUCAGUUCCACGAAGCGGUCGCCUCCGGUGUCCCCCGAGAGCCUCAGAGCAGAGAGCGUGUGUGGGCUGAGGUGA